UUACUUCUUCGUUCUUUUCUUCCCCGGGUAAUUUCUUUCCGUUAUGUAUCUAAUUUUUAUCUUCUAAACCUAAAACGACCCACCUAUCGAUUUUGUUCCGUCCGAUAGCGGUGACGCAGAGGGGGUUUUCAGUGGAGCUUUUCUCGACGGAAGAUGAAGAUGUGGAUGCGACGGGGUUCGAUCAGUUGGAAGAAAAGGUUUCCGACGGGCUCCUCCACUUCUUCUUCUUCUUCUGUUUCGUUUCUCCCGCAGCAAACCCAGAUGGAGAAACCAUGGUGGUUUCGUUGUCACAUCGUGUCGGGGGAGGCUGUUAGGACCGAUAGAUACCAACCCACCGCCCUUGAACACAGUUUAUCUCCAAAACCUUCUAUCUUCCAUCCUUUCCGCUUCCACUAUGGUGUCACCGAUGUCUGUAGCACACUAAAUCUAGGGUCUACUUGAAGAAUGCAGUGAUUUUAGUCGAAGAAGUAGAACGAUUACAACUUGAAGAACUUGAAAGACUAUAAGGUCACAACGAUAGGUACGGGUCUCGCUUGGAAUCCGGAUACUGGCACCGCCACUGCCAUGGUCGCUUCAUCUGGCAACAACGAAACCCGUCGUACACGCCAUUCAAUUACAACGACCACUGAGACUAGGUAAUUUCCGAUUUCCAAUUUUAAAAUCCUGUUUUUAUUUAUCUGAUUUUGUGUUUUGAUGUUCUUAUUGUGGGUUCUAAUCCAAAACCAUUGUAAACACUGAUAUUGGUAUACUCAUGGUGCUACAACUGGAUCAACAUGGGAGGUGUUUACUAGUAAGUUUAUCUCCAUUGCAAGUCUGAUGCCAUUACUACACUAUCAAACUCCCUUCUUUUGCCCAGACACAAACCAAUUCAUUCCAAUUAAUUUAUCAUCAGCCUAUUGGUUUGGUGGGGAAUCACUAUUCAGAGACAAAUUGUUCAAGUUGAGCGCCCUGUUCUUCAGGCACCAAAGUUGAAGGUUGGUAAUAGAGAAGACAUUUGUCCUUGUAAUGGGCGAUGGAACUUUAAUAAGAAGAAGCUUUUCACUCCCAUUAAAAUUGAGAAAUGGGUAGCCGUCAAUUUUUCAGCCAAGUGUGAUGCAUGUUAUCUUGCGCCGGAGCUCAUAAAUUGUGGAAGAAAUAGAGGUGUCGUAGGUCAAAGUCAAAGAUUUUUGAUCGCCCAUUUUCACUAAUGGAAGAAGACCCACAUAAUCCAAAAUUUGGACCUGUAGUAAGUGCAAAAGUCCCUGGUGCCCCUCAAUUUCUCCUUUGCAUAUUGCCAGAAAGAAAAAAUUCUGGCUUAUAUGGUAGCUCCUUCGGUUAAGCCAACAUGCUUCUCUUCUCAUCUUUGGCUAUGUAGAAACCAUCGACAAAUUGUAGAGGAACAGUGGUUUCAACCUGAUUGUACUCUAUAAGUAUAGUUUUUUGGCGUUCGACAACUCGCUUGGACUUACAGGCAACUCCAAUAUUCACAUCCACAUCAACAGAGAGCAGCUUCACAUAUAUUUUAGUCAACUAGCCAUCAAGUUCAUCUGAUUCAAGUAUUGGUGUUACAAUCGUUUAUAAAUCCAGUUAACAAUGAACACCCUUACAGUUAACAUCAAAAAACAAUAAACUGUAUUGAUCUUCUUUCUUGUGCUUGAAAUAGAAUCAAAAACUUCCAUUAAUGGUGCUACAUCCUGCAGCCUUGGCAUAAAUUUAGACAAUGUGAUAGUUAUUAGUUAUUUCUACAGGAAGAGAUAGAAAACGAAAUACAACUUGCAAUGAUUUGGCUAUAAAAAUUCUUCAAAGAUAUAAUUACUCUCUCAGUAUUGAAAACAACAUCAAAUCACCUAUCUGGAGAGAUCCAAUUCGAUAAGCAAGGAAGGAUAUUAGGGGCUGCAGUCAGAACUUACGUUCUAGAAAGAUCACAUGUUUUCCAAGUAUCUGACCCCGAGAGAAACUAUCAUUCCUUUUACAUGCUUUGUGCAGCACCCCCAGAGGAUGCAAAGAAAUUUAAAUUAGGAUAUCUGAGAUUGUUUCAUUAUUUGGAUCCAACUAUUUGCUAUGAAGUAGCAAAUAUUCAUGAUGGAAGAGAAGAGUUGGAAGCACGAUUGUUGAUUUUUGAUUUGUACGUUUCAAUGGGGAUUCAAUGUUGAUUUUUCUGAAGCGGUUACUGAGAGAGUUCACCAACUACAAAGGGUAGGGGUCGUGGUGUUCAUAUAUCAUCUAGAGAAUAGAACCGUAUAGCAUUUCCAAGAUAAAUGGUCAACAAGAACAGAGCAGCAAUCUUUAACAAAGUAGCAACCUUUCGGUCAACAAGAGGAAUCAUUAGAUUUUGUGAUUCGUGUCCCGUUGUAACGAAAAAGCUGAAUGUCAAAUACAUGAAAUGGAAUCAUCCAUUGUUUACAUUUUUAGUGUCUGGUAUGCUGGAAUGGAAUCAUCCAUUCCAUCGGAAUGACAUGAAAAAAUGUUUGUUUCUCUAACAGAAUGGAAUAGGCUAUUCAUUAUGGUGUCCAUUCCAUUCAAUUCAACUAAACACAUUUUUUAAUCAUGAAACAAGUGGAGGUUGAUGAUCUUCAAGAACUGAUAUUACCUCAAGCGCACAGAAUACCAACAAAUAUUACAUAAUUAUGGAUUAUAUCAUCAGUAUUCAAAAUUUUGUAUUAGAGAGCAUUCAACAAAAGUAGCAUAUCAUGCACUCUAUAACAAGAUUAGCGACCAACUGUAUACUUAUAAAACAUGUAUACUUAUAAAACAACAUAAGAGUUGUACAAUUUUUUUUUGAGGAACGUGAUUCGUUUGCAAUCAA